rnacentral:misc_RNA from 1 species
UCCGGUUUGUCACCGGCAGUCUCGCAUGAGUCCCCAACUAAAUGCUGGCAACAUGCGACAAGGGUUGCGCCCGUUGCGGGACUUAACCCAACAUGUCACCACACGAGCUGACGACAGCCAUGCAGCACCUGUCUCUCUGUGGUAUUGCUACCAAAGCCCUAUCUCUAGGGUUGUCAGAGGAUGUCAAAUCCAGGUAAGGUUCUUCGCGUUGCUUCGAAUUAAACCACAUGAUCCACCGCUUGUGCGGGCCCCCGUCAAUUCCUUUGAGUUUUAGUCUUGCGACCGUACUUCCCAGGCGGGGUACUUAGUGCGUUAGCGCCGAUUCGGCGGGGGUCAAGACCCACCAAAUCUAGUACCCAUCGUUUACAGCGUGGACUAC